UACAGAGGGUGCAAGCGUUAAUCGGAAUUACUGGGCGUAAAGCGCACGUAGGUGGCGACGUAAGUCGGGUGUGAAAGCCACGGGCUCAACCUGGGAAUUGCAUUCGAGACUGCAUUGCUGGAGUACGGAAGAGGAGGGCGGAAUUCCCGGUGUAGCGGUGAAAUGCGUAGAUAUCGGGAGGAACAUAAGGGGCGAAGGCGGCCCUCUGGUCCAGUACUGACACUCAAGUGCGAAAGCGUGGGGAGCAAACAUG
rnacentral:rRNA from 1 species